UCUGAGGUAGCUCAGUGGUAGAGCACCAGGCUCAUAACCUGGAGGGCGCUGGUUCAAAUCCAGCCCUCAGACCCC
rnacentral:tRNA from 1 species